rnacentral:rRNA from 1 species
CGUCUGGAAAGGUGCGCGAUACAGGGUGACAGCCCCGUACACAAAAGCGCAUGUGCUGUGAGCUCGAUGAGUAGGGCGGGACACGUGGUAUCCUGUCUGAAUAUGGGGGGACCAUCCUCCAAGGCUAAAUACUCCUGACUGACCGAUAGUGAACCAGUACCGUGAGGGAAAGGCGAAAAGAACCCCGGCGAGGGGAGUGAAAAAGAACCUGAAACCGU